CCCUAUGGGGCGCUUCGAGGGUAGGCUAGGCUUUUGCCUGGCCAGAGUUGACCCUGGCAUCGUGAAACUGUCCGGGCGGGCAACCGGACUUCAUUUUGCCCUUGAACCCUCCGGGUCCCCACCUCUACUCCCUUUCGCCGGAAUGAAUCCGGGGAAUCGAUCAAGAAAAGGUCAUGAAACGAGUGUUGUUGUUGGCAGCGGUUUUUGCCUUCGUGAUCCCGGCCGGGAGGGCCGAGGUCAAGCUGGCGGCGGUAUUUUCCAGUCACAUGGUUCUUCAGCGGGAGACGGAGGCGCCGGUCUGGGGAUGGGCGAGUCCCGGGGAAAAAGUCGAGGUGUCGGCCACCUGGGGCAAGAACGGCAAGUGUGUCGCCGAUGCGGGAGGGC
rnacentral:rRNA from 1 species